AAUGAACGUUGGCGGCGUGGAUUAGGCAUGCAAGUCGAGCGGUAGGGAACUGCUCACCUUAAGUUGUUGCAAGACAACUUCGAGGUGAGCAGUUCCUGAGAGCGGCGAAAGGGAGAGUAACGCGUAGUUAUGUACCCCGAGGACCGGAAUAGCCACGGGAAACUGUGGGUAAUGCCGGAUAAUAUCUCUGGAUCAAAGGUGUGAUUCCGCCUUGGGAGCAGACUGCGUCGUACUAGCUUGUUGGUGGGGUAAUGGCCUACCAAGGCGAUGAUGCGUAGCGGGUGUGAGAGCAUGACCCGUCUCACUGGGACUGAGACACUGCCCAGACACCUACGGGUGGCUGCAGUCGAGAAUCUUCGGCAAUGCGCGCAAGCGUGACCGAGCGACGCCGUGUGUGGGAUGAAGGCCCUCGGGUUGUAAACCACUGUCGUAGAGGAGGAAGUUGAUUGGGGUUCUCCCCAGUCAUUGACCUAUUCUAGGAGGAAGGACGGGCUAAGUACGUGCCAGCCGCCGCUGUAAUAC
rnacentral:rRNA from 1 species